rnacentral:rRNA from 1 species
AGUAUAGCAUUAUACCGUGAAACUGCGAAUGGCUCAUUAAAUCAGUUAUCGUUUAUUUGAUAGUACCUUACUACUUGGAUACCCGUGGUAAUUCUAGAGCUAAUACAUGCUAAAAACCCCGACUUUUGGAGGGGUGUAUUUAUUAGAUAAAAAACCAAUGCCCUUCUGGGCUCUCUGGUGAUUCAUAAUAACUUAACAGAUCGCAUGGCCUUGCGCCGGCGACGGUUCAUUCAAAUUUCUGCCCUAUCAACUUUCGAUGGUAAGGUAUUGGCUUACCAUGGUUUCAACGGGUAACGGGGAAUUAGGGUUCGAUUCCGGAGAGGGAGCCUGAGAAACGGCUACCACAUCCAAGGAAGGCAGCAGGCGCGCAAAUUACCCAAUCCCGACACGGGGAGGUAGUGACAAUAAAUACUGAUACAGGGCUCUUUUGGGUCUUGUAAUCGGAAUGAGUACAAUUUAAACCUCUUAACGAGGAACAAUUGGAGGGCAAGUCUGGUGCCAGCAGCCGCGGUAAUUCCAGCUCCAAUAGCGUAUAUUAAAGUUGUUGCAGUUAAAAAGCUCGUAGUUGAAUCUUGGGCCUGGCUGGCCGGUCCGCCUCACCGCGUGCACUGGUCCGGCCGGGCCUUUCCUUCUGGAGAGCCCCAUGCCCUUCACUGGGUGUGCGGGGGAACCAGGACUUUUACUUUGAAAAAAUUAGAGUGUUCAAAGCAGGCCUUUGCUCGAAUACGUUAGCAUGGAAUAAUAGAAUAGGACGUGCGAUCCUAUUUUGUUGGUUUUUAGGACCGCCGUAAUGAUUAAUAGGGACAGUCGGGGGCAUCAGUAUUCAAUUGUCAGAGGUGAAAUUCUUGGAUUUAUUGAAGACUAACUACUGCGAAAGCAUUUGCCAAGGAUGUUUUCAUUAAUCAGUGAACGAAAGUUAGGGGAUCGAAGACGAUCAGAUACCGUCGUAGUCUUAACCGUAAACUAUGCCGACUAGGGAUCGGGCGAUGUUCCUUUGUUGACUCGCUCGGCACCUUUCGAGAAAUCAAAGUUUUUGGGUUCUGGGGGGAGUAUGGUCGCAAGGCUGAAACUUAAG